rnacentral:rRNA from 1 species
AAAGGAAUUGACGGGGACCCGCACAAGUGGUGGAGCGUGUUCUUUAAUACGAGGCUAAGCGUAGAACCUUACCAGGGUUUGAAAUCCCGAGAAGUCUUUCGAAAGUUAGAUGUGCCUUAUGGAACUCGGUGACAGGUGUUGCAUGGCCGUCGUCAGCUCGUGUCGUGAGAUGUUGGGUUAAGUCCCGCAACGAGCGCAACCCCUAUAUUUAGUUGUAUUUUUCUAGAUAGACUGCCUCGGUAACGGGGAGGAAGGAGGGGACGACGUCUGGUCAUUAUGGCCCUUAUACCCUGGGCUAGAAACGCGCUACAAUGGUCGGUACAAUGGGCAUCAGCCAAAUCGCGAGAUGGAGCAAAUCCCAACAAAGCCGAUCUCAGUUCGGAUAGCAGGCUGAAACUCGCCUGCUUGAAGUCGGAAUCACUAGUAACCGUAGGUCAGCACACUACGGUGAAUACGUUCCCGGGUCUUGUACACACCGCCCGU